UGCCUUACUUCAGCACAGAGAAAUCGUCUCAGAGUUGCCAUUGAUAUAACCAGUGCCUUGUUAACAGAUGUGACCUGAUCUUUGCAGGGCCUGUCUCAGAUACUUACCUGUAUAUACCUGUGGGAGGAAGAAGAAAAUGGUGUGUCCACCUAGAAUAAUUUGUUUGCUGGAAGUUCUGUUGUUGGCAGAAAAUGGAAGCUACAAACUAGUGUGGUUAUCAGCAGGGAAUGGGAUCAAAGUUUCAGUCCAACAAGUCCAGGCAACUUUCAGCUUGAAGGCCAAGGUGUUACUACUUAGAAUUUAGGGCACAGAAGGCUGGUGUGUGUCGGCAGUGAUAUUUGGGAGAACGAGUCUGUUUGGGAGACACUUUAGGUCAUACCAGAUCUGCACAGGAAGCACAAAGCUCUGGUUACCACUGGAAGCCGUCUUGCCCCCAUAAACCAGCCUUAGGAUGCCACUGAUGCUGUAUGGCAGAAUGGAGUAACAGAGAGAAGAUUUCUUUCCAGGUGUAAUUGUCGAGUUUUGGGAGAAACUUUGCUAAAUGCCAUAAGAGAAGAAAUGCCUUGUCACCCUUGGGGAAGUUUGCAGAAUAAAGAAGGGACAAUGCAGUCACCAGGUCAGCAUUAAGGGAAGGCUUGGCUGCAUCAUCUGCCACUCUGCUGCUGCUGACUCUGCCAGUGGGGACAGCACAUGCUUCCUUCUACGCUUGCCUGAGGUUCGUAACUUCAGAGCCCCACAGCAUUUCUGGAAGGAGUAAAAUGAACUACAUGGUCCGGGAAGCUACUCCUAAGUAGAGUUCACAAUCAAAGGAAUAGAAGCUGGGGAAAACAAUAAAGCAGUCUUCUUCUUCUCGA